AGGUUCAGACUGUCAAAAGAAUCUGUAACAAAUUUGAUACAUUCAAUUCAUGAUGUCAUAAAGCAUCCGACAAAUUGGAAUCACGCUCUUACAUCAAUGGAAAUGUUGUUAAUUACACUCCGAUUUUUCGCGACAGGCAGUUUCUUAAUUGUAAUUGGAGAUUUUGGAGGUGUUCACAAGAGUACUGUGGGAAAAGCAAUAAACAGAGUUACAAGAGCUAUUGCAAAUUUGCGGGAAGAAUACAUAAAAUUUCCUCAAACAGGAGAAGAAAUCUCUAUAGUGCAACAAGGUUUUUAUCAACUUGCAAGAUUCCCACGAGUUGUUGGUGCUUUAGAUUGCACACAUAUCAAAAUAAAGUCACCGGGUGGAGAAAAUGCUGAAAUUUAUCGCAAUCGGAAAAAUUUUUUCUCCCUGAAUGUGCAAACAAUUGCUGCUUCUAAUUUAAAAAUAAUAAAUAUUGUAGCAAGAUGGCCCGGUUCUGCUCACGACUCAACAAUUUUUAGAAAUUCUGAGAUUUGCAGAAAAUUUCAAAAUGCAGAAAUGGAGCGUGCAAUACUUGUUGGGGAUGCAGGUUACCCUAUUCAAAAUUUUUUAAUGACACCAUUGACAGUGACAAAUACAAUUGCUCAAAAUUUAUAUAACGAGUCACUGAUUAGAACACGAAACCCAGUUGAACGUUCUUAUGGUGUUUGGAAACGACGCUUCCCGAUUUUAAGUAAUGGCAUAAAUCUACACCUACGAAUGGUUCCCUGGAUAAUUGUAGCCACAGCAGUCUUGCAUAAUAUCGCAAUUUUAAACGACGAAGAUGAACCACCUCCCUUAAAUCUCGAAGAGCAAAGAGCUUUUGAUUUGGCAGAUGAUGUACCAGUUGCUGAUGAUGUAAAUAGAAAUAACAACAACAGAGCAAGAAAUGAAUUCAUUGCAUAUUUUGCAAAUUUGUAAAUUUACAUAUAUAGUGUAGAAGUUUAUAAAUUAUUUCUAAAUUCAUUAAAUGCAAUUUCAGCUCAUGUUCCGCUCUAUGCUUUAGUUGGUUUAGUAUUUUUCAUUGUUCACAUCACUUAUGUAUUCAUCUA